CCCCAGGCUGGGCUGGGUGAGGAUCUCUUGGAAAGGCUCAGCCUCAAGCACCACUAGGAGC
rnacentral:pre_miRNA from 1 species